rnacentral:other from 1 species
GCCCUGCUGUGUACGUGGUAGGCCGAAAAGUUUUGAGCCAACACCUUCACAAAGGGAGCCUGGACUCUGGCUGUGGCGUAAAUGCCUCCCCAGAGUGGACUUACAAAGCAGUCAGGAGGGCACCCACCUGCCGAGCGCAGGUUCAAAACAUCGGAGGACACGGCACAGUGGGGUAU